UACAGAGGGGGCGAGCGUUGUUCGGAAUUACUGGGCGUAAAGGGCGCGUAGGCGGCCUUCUAAGUCGAACGUGAAAUCCCCGGGCUCAACCCGGGAACUGCGUCCGAUACUGGGAGGCUUGAAUCCGGGAGAGGGAUGUGGAAUUCCAGGUGUAGCGGUGAAAUGCGUGAGAUAUCUGGAGGAACACCGGUGGCGAAGGCGGCAUCCUGGACCGGUAU
rnacentral:rRNA from 1 species